CUUCAUGGGUCGUAUUCUCCCAAGAUCCAAAAUCGAAUCUUUCUUUGCCUGCGUCUCGGUGGGAGUUGCAGCAGUUGCAGAUUCAUGCCUGCUCUAUGGUGAAUCUGCAGGCGCAUUGCCUUCUCUACGUUGCAUAAAGCAAACAUUGAAACGAAGGGGGAAAAGAUUGGAUGGGUGAUGUAUUAAUCCACCAUGAACACGAUUCAGACAUCUCUCAACACUUCAACACGAGACUUUUAUAGUUUCAGCUCUAGUGUAAUAAUUUGUACCCUGAUUGCAGCAUUCGUUUGAAGAAACGAGGGAAUCACUUCCCCAAGCACAGCCACUGGCCAGCCUCCUUUUAUUUCGCAAAAUGGCUUUGUUGGAAAAGGUUAGCAUGACAAUGACUCUGGUGACGAAAUAUUUCAUCACAUAGGAACACUUUUUUAGACACCCAAACCAUCGGAAGUUUGAAUUGAAGCUGAUUGGUUUGAAUGUGGCUUCUUUAUAGUUUGCACUCUUUCCGUGGAUGCUAUCCUAUUUCAGAUGUCAAGUUUAAUGGA